GACGAACGCUGGCGGCGUGCUUAACACAUGCAAGUCGAACGGAAAGGCCCUGCUUUUGUGGGGUGCUCGAGUGGCGAACGGGUGAGUAACACGUGAGUAACCUGCCCUUGACUUUGGGAUAACUUCAGGAAACUGGGGCUAAUACCGGAUAGGAGCUCCUGCUGCAUGGUGGGGGUUGGAAAGUUUCGGCGGUUGGGGAUGGACUCGCGGCUUAUCAGCUUGUUGGUGGGGUAGUGGCUUACCAAGGCUUUGACGGGUAGCCGGCCUGAGAGGGUGACCGGCCACAUUGGGCCUGAGAUACGGCCCAGACUCCUACGGGAGGCAGCAGUGGGGAAUAUUGCACAAUGGGCGGACGCCUGAUGCAGCAACGCCGCGUGCGUGAUGACGGCCUUCGGGUUGUAAACCGCUUUCGCCUGUGACGAAGCGUGAGUGACGGUAAUGGAUAAAGAAGCACCGGCUAACUACGUG
rnacentral:rRNA from 1 species